rnacentral:rRNA from 1 species
GACGAACGCUGGCGGCGUGCUUAACACAUGCAAGUCGAACGGAAAGGCCCUGCUUUUGUGGGGUGCUCGAGUGGCGAACGGGCGAGUAACACGUGAGUAACCUGCCCUUGACUUUGGGAUAACUUCAGGAAACUGGGGCUAAUACCGGAUAGGAGCUCCUGCUGCAUGGUGGGGGUUGGAAAGUUUCGGCGGUUGGGGAUGGACUCGCGGCUUAUCAGCUUGUUGGUGGGGUAGUGGCUUACCAAGGCUUUGACGGGUAGCCGGCCUGAGAGGGUGACCGGCCACAUUGGGACUGAGAUACGGCCCAGACUCCUACGGGAGGCAGCAGUGGGGAAUAUUGCACAAUGGGCGGAAGCCUGAUGCAGCAACGCCGCGUGCGGGAUGACGGCCUUCGGGUUGUAAACCGCUUUCGCCUGUGGCGAAGCGUGAGUGACGGUAAUGGGUAAAGAAGCACCGGCUAACUACGUG